rnacentral:rRNA from 1 species
ACGGAAGGCAGCAGUGAGGAAUAUUGGUCAAUGGGCGGAAGCCUGAACCAGCCAAGUCGCGUGAAGGAUGAAGGUAUUAUGUAUUGUAGACUUCUUUAGACGUAGAGAAAUAAGGGGAUCGUGAUCCCUGAUGCUAGUAUACGUAGAAUAAGGAUCGGCUAACUCCGUGCCAGCAGCCGCGGUAAUACGGAGGAUCCGAGCGUUAUCCGGAUUUAUUGGGUUUAAAGGGUGCGCAGGCGGCUUUUUAAGUCAGUGGUUAAAUCGUGGAGCUUAACUCCAUCCCGCCAUUGAUACUGGAGAGCUUGAUUGCGGUUGAGGUUGGCGGAAUUCGCCGUGUAGCGGUGAAAUGCAUAGAUAUGGCGAAGAACUCCGAUUGCGUAGGCAGCUGACCAAGCCGUAAAUGACGCUCAUGCACGAAAGUGCGGGGAUCGAACAGGAUUAGAUACCCUGGUA